CAGUAGCCGCGGGAAUACGGAGGGAGCUAGCGUUGUUCGGAAUUACUGGGCGUAAAGCGCACGUAGGCGGUUAUUCAAGUCAGAGGUGAAAGCCCGGGGCUCAACCCCGGAACUGCCUUUGAAACUAGAUGACUGGAAUCUUGGAGAGGUCAGUGGAAUUCCGAGUGUAGAGGUGAAAUUCGUAGAUAUUCGGAAGAACACCAGUGGCGAAGGCGACUGACUGGACAAGUAUUGACGCUGAGGUGCGGAAGCGUGGGGAGCAAACAGGAUUAGAUACCCCUGUAGUCCCUGUCUCUUAUAC
rnacentral:rRNA from 1 species